ensembl:lncRNA
CACAACUUUAGCUACAAGGCAAGCGAUUUUGUUAAGGGGCUUUCAGUACCAUACUAGCCUACUAGACCAAAACACUCCAUAAAGGUCUGAACGCAGCAUGGGAAGCUUUUGCGUUUAAGUGCAUAUUCUCUGAAACCAGCUCCCACUUUCAACCUGGUGUGGGCGCCACAAAGUGCCCUCAUUGAAGACUACCGUGAACACUGCUUUGAUAACUUCUAUUUAGAGCUGGCUCAGGCAGGCCCUUAGAUGAGCUGCUAUAGGUCUAGACAUCCUGGGACACAACUUUUAUACAAUUUCAGGUCCCUAGAGUCAGUGCUUGCCUCACAGGUGUCUAUGGAUCAUGGUUAAAUAUCCAUUUUUGACCACAACCCCAGAGAAUUGACACAACAAGUUAAGGCAAUAGUUUUAUUGAAAGCAGAGAUAAGUAGGUACAAGCAAAAACAUCUUAACUAAUGCACUGUCCCAAAAACUGUUUCUAGGCGACGAGGUCCGAGGUGCCCGUGUAGCCGUCGGUCAGAGUUAAGUUGCCGUCGUCGCCCAGGGUGCCAUUGCCAGUGUAGAUGUCGGCCAAAGUUACAUUGUGGUCGUCGCCCAGGGUGCCGUUGCCUGAGUAGCCAUCUGCCAAAGUACCAUUGCUGCCAUUGUCGGCCAGGGUGCCAUCGUCGGCCAGGGUGCCGUUGCGGGUGUAGACGUCGCCCAGGGUGUCAUUGCCAUCUGCCAAAGUUCCGUUGCCCGUGUCGACGUCGGCCAGGUUGCCGUUGCCCGUGUAGCCGUCAGCCAAAGUUCCAUUGCUGCCGUCGUCGCCCAGGGUGCCGUUGCCAGUGUAGACGUCAGCAAAAGUCACAUUGCCGUCGUCGCCCAGGGUGCCGUUGCCUGAGUAGCCAUCUGCCAAAGUACCAUUGCUGCCAUUGUCGGCCAGGGUGCCAUCGUCGGCCAGGGUGCCGUUGCGGGUGUAGACGUCGCCCAGGGUGUCAUUGCCAUCUGCCAAAGUUCCGUUGCCCGUGUCGACGUCGGCCAGGUUGCCGUUGCCCGUGUAGCCGUCAGCCAAAGUUCCAUUGCUGCCGUCGUCGCCCAGGGUGCCGUUGCCAGUGUAGACGUCAGCCAAAGUUCCAUUGCUGCCGUCGUCGCCCAGGGUGCCGUUGCCUGUGUAGCCGCCAGGCAAAGUCACGUUGCAGUCGUCGCCCAGGGUGCCGUUGCCAUCUGCCAAAGUUCCGUUGCCCGUCUCGACGUCGGCCAGGGUGCCGUUGCCAGUGUAGACGUCAGCAAAAGUCACGUUGCCGUCGUCGCCCAGGGUGCCGUUGCCAUCUGCCAAAGUUCCGUUGCCCGUGUCGACGUCGGCCAGGGUGCCGUUGCCAGUGUAGACGUCAGCAAAAGUCACGUUGCCGUCGUCGCCCAGGGUGCCGUUGCCCGUGUAGCCAUCAGCCAAAGUUCCAUUGCUGCCGUCGUCGCCCAGGGUGCCGUUGCCCGUGUAGCCGUCAGCCAAAGUCACGUUUCCGUCGUCGCCCAGGGUGUCGUUGCCAUCUGCCAAAGUUCCGUUGCCCGUCUCGACGUCGGCCAGGGUGCCGUUGCCAGUGUAGACGUCAGCAAAAGUCACGUUGCCGUCGUCGCCCAGGGUGCCGUUGCCCGUGUAGCCGUCAGCCAAAGUUCCGUUUCCCGUGUAGACGUCAGCUAGGGUCACGUUGCCGUCGUCGCUCAGGGUGCCGUUGCCUGCGUCGGCAUCUGCCAAAGUUCCAUUGCUGCCGUCGUCGCCCAGGGUGCCGUUGCCCGCGUAGACGCCAGCCAAAGUACCAUUGCUGCCAUCGUCGCCCAGGGUGCCGUUGCGGGUGUAGACGUCGGACAGGGUGUCGUUGCCAUCUGCCAAAGUUCCGUUGCCCGUGUCGACGUCGGCCAGGGUGCCGUUGCCAGUGUAGACGUCAGCCAAAGUCACGUUGCAGUCGUCGCCCAGGGUGCCGUUGCCCGUGUAGCCGUCAGCCAAAGUUCCAUUGCUGCCGUCGUCGCCCAGGGUGCCGUUGCCCGUGUAGCCGUCAGCCAAAGUUCCGUUGCCCGUGUAGUCAGCUAGGGUCACGUUGCCGUCGUCGCUCAGGGUGCCGUUGCCUGCGUCGGCAUCUGCCAAAGUUCCAUUGCUGCCGUCGUCGCCCAGGGUGCCGUUGCCCGCGUAGACGUCAGCCAAAGUCUCGUUGCCGUCGUCGCCCAGGGUGCCGUUGCCCGCGUAGACGUCAGCCAAAGUACCAUUGCUGCCAUCGUCGCCCAGGGUGCCGUUGCGGGUGUAGACGUCGGACAGGGUGCCGUUGCGGGUGUAGACGUCGGACAGGGUGUCGUUGCCAUCUGCCAAAGUUCCGUUGCCCGUGUCGACGUCGGCCAGGGUGCCGUUGCCCGCGUAGACGUCAGCCAAAGUACCAUUGCUGCCAUCGUCGCCCAGGGUGCCGUUGCGGGUGUAGACGUCGGACAGGGUGUCGUUGCCAUCUGCCAAAGUUCCGUUGCCCGUGUCGACGUCGGCCAGGGUGCCGUUGCCAUCUGCCAAAGUUCCGUUGCCCGUCUCGACGUCGGCCAGGGUGCCGUUGCCAGUGUAGACGUCGGCAAAAGUCACGUUGCCGUCGUCGCCCAGGGUGCCGUUGCCCGUGUAGCCGUCAGCCAAAGUUCCAUUGCUGCCGUCGUCGCCCAGGGUGCCGUUGCCAUCUGCCAAAGUUCCGUUGCCCGUCUCGACGUCGGCCAGGGUGCCGUUGCCAGUGUAGACGUCGGCAAAAGUCACGUUGCAGUCGUCGCCCAGGGUGCCGUUGCCCGUGUAGCCGUCAGCCAAAGUUCCGUUGCCCGUGUAGACGUCAGCUAGGGUCACGUUGCCGUCGUCGCUCAGGGUGCCGUUGCCUGCGUCGGCAUCUGCCAAAGUUCCAUUGCUGCCGUCGUCCAGGGUGCCGUUGCGGGUGUCGUCGCCCAGGGUGCCGUUGCCCGCGUAGACGUCAGCCAAAGUCUCGUUGCAGUCGUCGCCCAGGGUGCCGUUGCCUGCGUAGCCAUCUGCCAAAGUACCAUUGCUGCCAUCGUCGCCCAGGGUGCCGUUGCGGGUGUAGACGUCGGACAGGGUGCCGUUGCCAUCUGCCAAAGUUCCGUUGCCCGUGUCGACGUCGCCCAGGUUGCCGUUGCCCGUGUAGCCGUCAGCCAAAGUUCCAUUGCUGCCGUCGUCGCCCAGGGUGCCGUUGCCAUCUGCCAAAGUUCCGUUGCCCGUCUCGACGUCGGCCAGGGUACCGUUGCCAGUGUAGACGUCAGCAAAAGUCACGUUGCCGUCGUCGCCCAGGGUGCCGUUGCCCGUGUAGCCAUCAGCCAAAGUUCCAUUGCUGCCGUCGUCGCCCAGGGUGCCGUUGCCCGUGUAGCCGUCAGCCAAAGUCACGUUUCCGUCGUCGCCCAGGGUGUCGUUGCCAUCUGCCAAAGUUCCGUUGCCCGUCUCGACGUCGGCCAGGGUGCCGUUGCCAGUGUAGACGUCAGCAAAAGUCACGUUGCCGUCGUCGCCCAGGGUGCCGUUGCCCGUGUAGCCGUCAGCCAAAGUUCCAUUGCUGCCGUCGUCACCCAGGGUGCCGUUGCCCGUGUCGACGUCAGCAAAAGUCACGUUGCCGUCGUCGCCCAGGGUGCCGUUGCCAUCUGCCAAAGUUCCGUUGCCCGUCUCGACGUCGGCCAGGGUGCCGUUGCCCGUGUAGCCGUCAGCCAAAGUUCCGUUGCCCGUGUAGUCAGCUAGGGUCACGUUGCCGUCGUCGCUCAGGGUGCCGUUGCCUGCGUCGGCAUCUGCCAAAGUUCCAUUGCUGCCGUCGUCGCCCAGGGUGCCGUUGCCCGCGUAGACGUCAGCCAAAGUCUCGUUGCCGUCGUCGCCCAGGGUGCCGUUGCCCGCGUAGACGUCAGCCAAAGUACCAUUGCUGCCAUCGUCGCCCAGGGUGCCGUUGCGGGUGUAGACGUCGGACAGGGUGUCGUUGCCAUCUGCCAAAGUUCCGUUGCCCGUGCUGCGAUCGUCGGCCAGGGUGCCGUUGUCAGUGUAGAUGUCGUCCAACGUUACGUUGUGGGUGCCGUCGUCGCCCAGGGUGCCGUUGACCUUGUAGACGUCAGCCAAAGUCACGUUGCCGUCGUCGCCCAGGGUGCUGUUGCCCGUGUAGACAUCAGCCAAAGUCACGUUGCCGUCGUCGCCCAGGGUGCUGUUGCCUGCGUAGGCGUCUGCCAGAGUUCCCUUGCUGCCAUCGUCGCCCAGGGUGCCGUCGCGGGUGCCGUCGUCGCCCAGGGUGCUGUUGCAGCCUAUGUAAUGUGAGCUGUUGGCGCUGAUGAGAAGUCCGUCGUUUUGCGCAUAUUCAACUUUUAGGUGGACAGCUGAUGCCUUAAUUUCCACCUCAUUGGUUUCAAACUUACCUUCUUUUGACUUCCGCAGGAACACAGACUCAGACUGGUGAAGCGUAAGGGCCUUCUUUAUGGAGGGCUCAUUAGGAGACAGCUCUAUUAGUAAUAAAAUAAUGUCAGUGUCAAGUAGAAGCUAAUCAAAUAUUUAUUCACCCAAUAUUCUUACC